GAUGAAGAACGUAGCGAAAUGCGAUAAGUAAUGUGAAUUGCAGAAUUCAGUGAAUCAUCGAGUCUUUGAACGCACAUUGCGCCCCCUGGUAUUCCGGGGGGCAUGCCUGUCCGAGCGUCAUUGCUGCCCUCAAGCACGGCUUGUGUGUUGGGCCCCCGUCCCCGGUUUCCCCCGGGGACGGGCCCGAAAGGCAGCGGCGGCACCGCGUCCGGUCCUCGAGCGUAUGGGGCUUUGUCACCCGCUCUGUAGGCCCGGCCGGCGCCAGCCGACACCCAACUUUAUUUCUAAGGUUGACCUCGGAUCAGGUAGGGAUACCCGCUGAACUUAAGCAUAUAAAUAAGCGGAGGAA
rnacentral:misc_RNA from 1 species